AGAAAGCCGAUGGAAUUCAGGGA
rnacentral:piRNA from 1 species